AAAUGAAGAUUUUGUUCAUCCAAUAUUCGAUGAGAAGGUUACCAACGUUGAGGACUCUAUGAAUACAACAUUCGCAAUUGAUAUUAAUUCAGAAGUCAAGCACAUAGAGUUUGUUAUGCCACCAUGGUUCUCUAAAGAGAAAGCUCCACAACUUGAAGACUUUAUUCCUAAUGUUUCUGCAUCACCAGAGUUUUGUUUGGAAAUGGUCAAAGUUGUUAUUCAGAUGUUGUUUCCCUCUCAUCACUGCAAAAUUCAAGGACGAAUUUUUUCAUGCUGGAGGGAGUUGAUGCAAAUUCAUCACCGAAAUAGGAUUGUUUUAUUAGGAAUAGCUCUAGGGUUGGGUUAUAUACACGUUGGGCCUUUGAUCCCAUGGGUUUUCUAAGUAAUAGGCCGCUUUUAUGGG